CCAAAAACCUUUUCAAAUUCUUUUUCCAUUUCCCACACUUCUCUUUCUCUCCCUUGUCAUAUGCACGUUCUUCUCUCUCUCUCACCCGCUUUCUUUCUUCCUUCAACAUUCAAACCCUAAAUUCAUGGUCAUCCCCUUUCUCCCUCAUCACCGCUUCUCCCCUUCUCCGAUUCAAACCCUAAAUUUCUGAUUUUCCCCUUAUCUGUUUAAAGAUAUGUUGGAGUGUUCUGGCGAAAAAAGUGGCGGAGGAAGGAUGGUUUCACGGUGACUGCAUUUUUCCAAGAUCACAGGGACAAUCCUUCUCGUCUAUUUCUUUUAGUUGUCGUUUGAUAGCAUCAUAAUGUUUUUCUUUAAUUUUAAAUCUUCACUCUGUUAAUGAAUGAUAAUUUGUGUUUUCAGCUUCAAAUGGAAACAUUACAGAUCUGAUUGGAUGCCGACUUUCGGUUGGUGAUGUGCUCCUUUAACUGAGGUAUUUUAAGGAUCAGUAUGUACUAUACACUGACCUUUUUCUUUUUAUAAACUCUAAUAUUUGUUCAUGGCCUGAUCUUUUUAAUGGCUUUUAUAAUUUUGUAUAUUUGGCUUGAUUUCUGAAUUUAACUCUGUUUUAAUAGCUUAUUCCAUGUGGUUGUUGUAAAUCAUGACAAGUUAAUUAAGCUAACUAGACAUCUUACGUGUUACAUUUAUUCCAUUAGAAAAGAUAUCAGAAAGAAUCUAGAUGUGGCUUCAAAGGUAGCUUUCUUUUGGUUCUUGUCGGUGUAAAGACCGUUAGCCUUUGAGUUCGGUGUCAUUUCCGCCACAUCACCGACAUUGACACAUUCAGGUACUCUAAACUUGUGUUUGCUGUAGACUGUUUGAAUUAAAUGGUGUCUCUAUGAUGCUGCAUAAUACCGAUUUUCAUCUAUGACAUGUUGUAUGUGUCCUUUGAUUUUGAAGCAUAGUGAACAAGAGUGUUGAUAAUUGUUGCUGGUAAUGAUAUGCAAAAACAAGGGUGGUAAAGACCGAUAGCCUGAGUUCGGUGUCAUUUCUGACGCAUCACCGACAUUAACACAUUCAUGUACUCUAAACUUGUGUUUGCUUCAACAAAAGUUCUGUUAUUUCUAAUAACUAUAUUAUGACUCAUUUCUAUCAAAUUUUGUGCUAGGAUUUGGAAGCUACUAAAUUCACUUUAUUUUUGUCUCCGUUGUAAUAUCUUAACUUUUAUUUAAACUUCAAAAUCGACAAAAUAAAAUAUCAUCAAAUUAUUAUGUGUACAAAUGUGAAGUGAUGUUGUAAUGUUUAAAGUUAAAUGAUGGAACUUGACCAAAGUAAACUGUGAUUUUCAUUUUUCCUUCGUAUUGAUCAUUAUAUUUCUUUAUUUUCUAAAUGCACCUUAACUUGCAGCUAAAUCAACUACUACCGAGGAGAAUGAUCUCAAGUCCCAAAUUGUGGUACAUAUUUUGGAUUUCUCAUCUUGCAUUUGCAAUAAAAUGUGAGUUGUUAGGUUUGUUAAAAUAUGUACAUGGAUGCCUUUGCUAAUGCAGAUUAAAAAAGAAGAUAAUAUACUAAUACUCAAAAACUUCUUUAGGUUGGUUAUGGUUUAUUAUAUUAGUGUUUUACUAAUCAUAAUCAUCGCUAUUAUCGUUUUGACUUGAAAGCUUAUUGUAUAAUGUGAUGGAAUUGCAACAUUAUAAGCAGCUUAAGGAUUUGAGUAUCAAAGAUUUAAUGGUGGAGAAUGUGGAAGAAGAGGAUCCUAACAUGGCUGUGAAUUUGUUAACUGUGGCUGGCACAGGUAAUGCUGCUUUUCUAGAGGAGCUUCUAAGAGCUGGUCUUGUCCAAGUACGCAAGAUCCCAGGGUUCUAUUUGACAUAUUACACUUUUGAAUAAGUUCUGCACUGGACCCUUUGUGUUUAAUAAAUACAGAUUCUGUUUUGAGACAUUUGAAUAUUUUUGUUUGUUUUUAAGGGUGGUAUCUUAAGAUAAUAUUGUUUUGAGUC